rnacentral:rRNA from 1 species
GAUGAACGCUGGCGGCGUGCCUAAUACAUGCAAGUCGAGCGAACGGACGAGAAGCUUGCUUCUCUGAUGUUAGCGGCGGACGGGUGAGUAACACGUGGAUAACCUACCUAUAAGACUGGGAUAACUUCGGGAAACCGGAGCUAAUACCGGAUAAUAUUUUGAACCGCAUGGUUCAAAAGUGAACGACGGUCUUGCUGUCACUUAUAGAUGGAUCCGGGCUGCAUUAGCUAGUUGGUAAGGUAACGGCUUACCAAGGCAACGAUGCAUAGCCGACCUGAGAGGAUGAUCAGUCACACUGGAACUGAGACACGGUCCAGACUCCUACGGGAGGCAGCAGUAGGGAAUCUUGCGCAAUGGGCGAAAGCCUGACGGAGCAACGCCGCGUGUGUGAUGAAGGUCUUCGGAUCGUAAAACUCUGUUAUUAGGGAAGAACAUAUGUGUAAGUAAAUGUGGAUGUCUUGACGGUACCUAAUCAGAAAGCCACGGCUAACUACGUG